UACGGAGGGAGCUAGCGUUGUUCGGAAUUACUGGGCGUAAAGCGCACGUAGGCGGCUUUGUAAGUUAGAGGUGAAAGCCCGGGGCUCAACCCCGGAAUUGCCUUUAAGACUGCAUCGCUUGAAUCCGGGAGAGGUGAGUGGAAUUCCCAGUGUAGAGGUGAAAUUCGUAGAUAUUGGGAAGAACACCGGUGGCGAAGGCGGCUCACUGGCCCGUAACUGACGCUCAUGCACGACAGCGUGGGGAUCAAACAGG
rnacentral:rRNA from 1 species